rnacentral:rRNA from 1 species
GACAGAGGUGCCAAGCGUUAGGCGGAAUCACUGGGCUUAAAGCGUGUGUAGGCGGAUUUGUAAGUACCUUGUGAAAUCCCACGCUCAACCGUGGAACUGCUCGGUAUACUGCGAGUCUUGAGCCACUUAGGGCUACCGGAACAAAUGGUGGAGCGGUGAAAUGCGUAGAUAUCAUUGGAACGCCAAUGGUGAAAACAGGUAGCUGGGAGUGUGCUGACGGUGAGACACGAAGCCCAGGGGAGCGAACGGG